CCCCUUUCAAAUUCCGCAUAAAAUGCCUAUAUUAAGCCUGUCGGGAAACCGACUAUGGCGAUAAACGUUGCAUGGAAUAAACGUAGCGGACCCGGGGGCGGUACCCGGCGCCUCCACCACGAAUACAGCCGGAUAAUGAAACAGGCUGUAUUCCUGAUGGGGGCGAAACAGGCUCGACGCGCGCAGUAAAGAUGUAAUUUUUGCCCGGCAUGAUACCGCCGUUAUCGGGUCAAUUUUAUAAAUGCUAACGAUAAUGACGAAGCAUUUGCCGUAGCUGCCUAAUCGCAACUACACGGGGUUCGGGGGGGCACCUGGCAACAGAAGCCCCUCCACU
rnacentral:tmRNA from 1 species